rnacentral:rRNA from 1 species
AGAGUUUGAUCAUGGCUCAGGAUGAACGCUGGCGGCGUGCCUAACACAUGCAAGUCGAGCGAUUCUCUUCGGAGAAGAGCGGCGGACGGGUGAGUAACGCGUGGGUAACCUGCCUCAUACACAUGGAUAACAUACCGAAAGGUAUGCUAAUACAGGAUAAUAUAAGAGAUUCACAUGGAUUUCUUAUCAAAGCUCCGGCGGUAUGAGAUGGACCCGCGUCUGAUUAGCUAGUUGGUAAGGUAACGGCUUACCAAGGCGACGAUCAGUAGCCGACCUGAGAGGGUGAUCGGCCACAUUGGAACUGAGACACGGUCCAAACUCCUACGGGAGGCAGCAGUGGGGAAUAUUGCACAAUGGGCGAAAGCCUGAUGCCAGCAACGCCGCGUGAGUGAUGAAGGCCUUCGGGUCGUAAAACUCUGUCCUCAAGGAAGAUAAUGACGGUACUUGAGGAGGAAGCCCCGGCUAACUACGUGCCAGCAGCGGC